AUUGAACGCUGGCGGCAGGCUUAACACAUGCAAGUCGAGCGGAGAUGAGGUGCUUGCACCUUAUCUUAGCGGCGGACGGGUGAGUAAUGCUUAGGAAUCUGCCUAUUAGUGGGGGACAACAUUCCGAAAGGAAUGCUAAUACCGCAUACGUCCUACGGGAGAAAGCAGGGGAUCUUCGGACCUUGCGCUAAUAGAUGAGCCUAAGUCGGAUUAGCAAGUUGGUGGGGUAAAGGCCUACCAAGGCGACGAUCUGUAGCGGGUCUGAGAGGAUGAUCCGCCACACUGGGACUGGGACACGGCCCAGACUCCUACGGGAGGCAGCAGUGGGGAAUAUUGGACAAUGGGGGAAACCCUGAUCCAGCCAUGCCGCGUGUGUGAAGAAGGCCUUAUGGUUGUAAAGCACUUUAAGCGAGGAGGAGGCUACUGAGACUAAUACUCUUGGAUAGUGGACGUUACUCGCAGAAUAAGCACCGGCUAACUCUGUGCCAGCAGCCGCCGUAACAC
rnacentral:rRNA from 1 species